UCCGUGGAUUCGAACGCUCUGUUUUCUCC
rnacentral:piRNA from 1 species